rnacentral:rRNA from 1 species
GGCGAACGCUGGCGGCGUGCUUAACACAUGCAAGUCGAGCGAUGAAGUUUUUUCGGAAAUGGAUAGCGGCGAACGGGUGAGGAACACGUGAAGAAUCUGCCCUCCACUUUGGGAUAACACAGGGAAACCUGUGCUAAUACCGAAUAUUGAAACAUAAGUGGCAUCACUGAGGUUUGAAAGAAUUUCGGUGGAGGAUGACUUCGCGGCCUAUCAGCUAGUUGGUGAGGUAAUGGCUCACCAAGGCAACGACGGGUAGCCGGCCUGGGAGGGCGACCGGCCCACAGGGGACUGAGACACGGGCCAGACUCCGACGGGAGGCAGCAGUGGGGAGUAUUGGGCAAUGGAGGAAACUCUGACCCAGAGGCGCCGCGUGCGGGAUGAAGGCCUUCGGGUUGUAAACCGCUUUCAGUAGGGAAGAAGCGAAAGUGACGGUACCUACAAAAGAAGCACCGGCUAACUAUGUGCCAGCAGCCGCGGUAA